rnacentral:lncRNA from 1 species
CAUGAAUUCAUUGUCCAACACGAGAAUAACAAAGGAGGGGUUGACCAAGAGAUUCUUUUUCCUUCAGUCAACAAAGUUGCCACUACUCCUGAUUCUACAAUAGUUUCCCCAACAGAGGAAAGUGAGCUCCCUGCUCUUAAUUACACAAAACCUUGUCUGAAAGAUGAAAGCGCCCCCCUGCAGCUGCAGCUCACCAACACCUCUGCCUAUUACACCUACCUCGUGUUCCUUCUCGUGAGCGCAGUCUACCUUGCCACCGUCGCCUUGUGUCUGUUAAGGAGAACAGCAGUCUGGGGCAAUGGAAAGAGUUCGUAACAGAUGGUGACCCAAGAAAGCAACUUUCCUCCAUUGUUUAUACUCCCUAAAACUGUCUGCCGAGGAUCUAGACGGACUUUCUCUCUGAGUUUGGGUUAUUUCAGCUCACAUGCGUACUUUUCUGUUAUGUCAUUAUUGUGUAAUGGUUUUUCAAAUCACUGGACAAACAGAAAAUCCUACUCUGUAACGAUGCUGUAUACUGCCAUUACUCAGGGGCAGGGCCAAGCGGUAGUCCUUUAGCACCACUCUCUCCAUGAUCCCCAUCAGCUCCUCCAACAACCCGAAUAACCAUGCCUUCUAAGUACAGACAACAUGCGGCUCUAGUCACGUCGCUUAGGACCUUUUAACCAGAACCGCCUUGAAGCCUUCCAUUUUACACACCCUAAUCCAACAUCAUUG